rnacentral:rRNA from 1 species
AUGCAAGUCGAUCGGUAACAGGUGUAGCAAUACAUGCUGACGAGAGGCGGACGGGUGAGGAAUAUUUGGGAAUCUGCCCAUCAGCGGGGGACAACCCGGGGAAACUCGGGCUAAUACCGCAUACGCUCUACGGAGGAAAGCCGGGGACCGCAAGGCCUGGCACUGAUGGAUGAGCCCAAAUCGGAUUAGCUAGUUGGCGGGGUAACGGCCCACCAAGGCGACGAUCCGUAGCUGGUCUGAGAGGACGAUCAGCCACACCGGAACUGAGACACGGUCCGGACUCCUACGGGAGGCAGCAGUGGGGAAUAUUGGACAAUGGGGGAAACCCUGAUCCAGCGACGCCGCGUGGGUGAAGAAGGCCUGCGGGUUGUAAAGCCCUUUCGGUAGGGAAGAAAUCUCUUGCUCUAACAAAGCAAGGGUUUGACUUAACCUACAUAAGAAGCACCGGCUAACUCUGUGCCAGCAGCCGCGGUAAUACAGAGGGUGCGAGCGUUAAUUGGAAUUACUGGGCGUAAAGCGCACGUAGUCGGCUUGCCAAGUCGGGUGUGAAAUCCCCGGGCUCAACCUGGGAACUGCAUCCGAAACUGGCUUGCUAGAGUAUGGGAGAGGGAGGCGGAAUUUCUGGUGUAGCAGUGAAAUGCGUAGAUAUCAGAAGGAACAUCAGUGGCGAAGGCGGCCUCCUGGACCAAUACUGACGAUCAGGUGCGAAAGCGUGGGGAGCAAACAGGAUUAGAUACCCUGGUAGU